GCUGCGCAGUGCACCAGCCUAGUCUGGGGGCGGCAGGAUCCGCUGUAGGAAAGUCCAGACUGGAUAGAGGACGUCCGGGGGUCACCCGUCGCACCUUGGGGACCCAUGUGGGGUCCAGAUGCCCGGUGAGCCCGUGGAUGUCACUUUUAUCCUGAUUUGGAGAACCUAUUGAGGAGAUUUUCUUGAGUUGCCUGUUGUGAAAUGAGGAGCCUAAUAGGAAAAGGUGGCAAACAAAUGACUCCAAGGUCACAAUUUGGGGAACAUUAUGGGAGAACUAAACAACCAGAAGUCACAUAUUUGGGUGAGUGAUCUUUUAUUUCCUUUUAAUACUCUAUGUCUAUCUCACAAAUUGUGUAGAAACCCUAGGGCAAGAGCUGUGAUUAAUUAUACCCAAACUUUUAACAUCUCACAUUAUCCAUUUAUGUGCUAAAUAUCAUACUUUUCUUGAAAUUUUGUAAGUGUGAGAUUAUUAUUUAGUGGGUUGGCCAGAA